rnacentral:rRNA from 1 species
UAGGGAAUCUUCGGCAAUGGACGAAAGUCUGACCGAGCAACGCCGCGUGAGUGAAGAAGGUUUUCGGAUACGUAAAACUCUGUUGGUAGAGAAGAACGUUGGUGAGAGUGGAAAGCUCAUCAAGUGACGGUAACUACCCAGAAAGGGACGGCUAACUACGUGCCAC